rnacentral:rRNA from 1 species
UACGAAGGGAGCUAGCGUUACUCGGAAUCACUGGGCGUAAAGCGUGCGCAGGCGGUUUGGUAAGUUAGAAGUGAAAGCCCAGGGCCUAACCCUGGAAUUGCUUUUAAUACUGCCAGACUAGAGUAUUGGAGGGGAUAGUGGAAUUUCUAGUGUAGAGGUGGAAUUCGUAGAUACUAGAAGGAACACCGGUGGCGAAGGCGACUAUCUGGCCAAAUACUGACGCUGUUGCACGAAGGCGUGGGGAGCAAAC